rnacentral:rRNA from 1 species
AACGCCGCGUGAGUGAAGAAGGCUUUGGAUUGUAAAGCUCUUUCGGCUGGGAAGAGGGGGGGCUAGUCUAAUAAACUAGCGCUUUGACGGUACCAGAAGAAGAAGCACUGGCUAAUUCCGUGCCAGCAGCCGCGGUAAUACGGAAGGUGCAAGCGUUGUUCGGAUUGACUGGGCGUAAAGAGCACGUAGGCGGGUUCGUAAGUCGAUUGUGAAAGCCCCAGGCUUAACCUGGGAACGGCGAUCGAAACUGUGAAUCUUGAAUACCCAAGAGGUUAGUAGAAUUCCUGGUGUAGGAGUGAAAUCCGUAGAUAUCAGGAGGAAUACCGGCGGCGAAGGCGGCUAACUGGUGGUGUAUUGACGCUGAGGUGCGAAAGUGCGGGGAGCAAACAGGAUUAGAUACCCUGGUAGUCCGAAACGUAAACGAUGGAUACUAGGUAGUAAGGGCAUUAACCCCCUGAGUACUAAAGCAAACGCAUUAAGUAUCCCGCCUGAGGAGUACGAGCCGCAAGGCUAACACUCAAAGGAAUUGACGGGGGCCAGACAAGCGGUGGAGAAUGUGGUAUAAUUCGAAGCAACGCGCA